AUUGAACGCUGGCGGCAUGCUUUACACAUGCAAGUCGAACGGUAACAGGCCGCAAGGUGCUGACGAGUGGCGAACGGGUGAGUAAUGCAUCGGAACGUGCCCAGACGUGGGGGAUAACGCAGCGAAAGCUGUGCUAAUACCGCAUACGAUCUGUGGAUGAAAGCGGGGGACCUUCGGGCCCCGCGCGAUUGGAGCGGCCGAUGUCAGAUAAGGUAGUGGGUGGGGUAAAGGCUCACCAAGCCGACGAUCUGUAUCUGGUAUGAGAGGACGACCAGCCACACUGGGACUGAGACACGGCCCAGACUCCUACGGGAGGCAGCAGUGGGGAAUGUUGGACAAUGGGCGCAAGCCUUAUCCAGCAAUGCCGCGUGCAGGAAGAAGGCCUUCGGGUUGUAAACUGCUUUUGUACGGAGCGAAAAGGCUCCCUCUAAUACAGGGGGCUCAUGACGGUACCGUAAGAAUAAGCACCGGCUAACUACGUGCCAGCAGCCGCCGUAAGAC
rnacentral:rRNA from 1 species